rnacentral:lncRNA from 1 species
ACCUUCUUCAGCAAUAGAUGGGGCUUGCGCCUUAGAGUUCAGGGGAGCCCCAAUCUCCAUCCCUAUUCCAUGGUUUAAGAGACCAGCUUUAGUAGUCUCUCCUCCAGCUAGAGCAGAAGGAGGAGGACUUUGAAUGAACACCUUCCAGACAUUACCAAAAUCAUAUAAUUUCUCUUCCUUUACAAAAUCUUGAACAACAGUAAGAGGG